GAUGUCACAACCUAGCUCUAAGAGUGGAAUAUAAAACUUUUAUAUGAUGAUUUCAUAAUUAUGAUAUAUAUUGGAUAAAAGUCAGACUGAAAAACCAAGAGGCCCUAAGGGGCGGCGGUCCCCAUCCCUGUCAACCCAAGCACACAAUUAAUUGACAAUAACCAAAGAUUUGGAUUACCAAUUAGGGAGUCGCCCGCAUUAUGACCUGGGAAUCUUCAUCGUUAUAUACGGGAGCCUUAUUUUUACUUUCACCACAGUCUAGUCUAACUUCAAUUUUAAGGGAAAAUCAAAAUGUCUCCAAUUGCCCAGCCAGCUUAUCAAAGACCCACAUAAAGGCCUUGUGAAAAGACCUGCAAAACUGCUUGUGAGGAUGAGGAUUUGAUGCCACUCGAUUUUGCACUUUUAGCAUAGGAGAGAGUUUAUUGGUGGUGGGAAUAGGGAUUCAGCAAAAGUCUUCUCUUAAAGGUCUGUUGCUUGAUUCACAUAGACUUCCAACUUUCCCUCCCAGUGGAUUCCCAUGUA
rnacentral:lncRNA from 1 species